CUCUACUGAUCUCCUCUGCCAUUCAUGUCCUACUCAAUUCCAUCGGCAAUUUCAGUUACCUUCGAUUGGCGUCGGUUGUGAUUCGGUUUGAUUGGCUAGUUCAUGUCGAAACUGCAGUGGCAAUCGAUUCCCCGAAUUUAGCGGGCUCGAUCAGACUAGAUAGCGACAGCUUGACGCCGCUUAGGAUUUCGAUUGUUUCUGUUUCUGUGGUUUCGGUCGUUGUGCUCCCCGUGAUCGAGCCUGUUCUGAGUGGACUAGGCCAUGCCGUAAUUGAUGGUUGGAUGAUUCGACAGGUCAUGCUGUAUGGCGACAGCGAGCAGAUGUUGGAAUGCAGGAUCUCGAAGAAAGAUGAAGUUGUUUGUUGUGGUGAGACACUGACGUUCAGUGCUUAUUUGGUUGACGUUGGAGAGCCUGAAGGAGGGCAAAAGCCUCUUAAUCAUACUUGAUAUUCACAGCCGAGCAAAGAAAGUUCCUAAGCGAACAACUUCGCUUCACAGAAACAAGUUCAUGAACGUAUCUGAUUGCACCGGUAUUGUCUGUUCUUCAUGCUGGUGUCUCUAUUGGUUUGAAAUUUGACAACUCAUUCUUGUACAUUCACAAUGUUGUGAUCGUCUACUGGUGUUAAUGUAUAAUCCACUUCGCAUACGUUUUAAGAAAUGAGAAGACCAAAGUGGAGAAGGAUAAACAGCAGACAAUUAGCCUCAGCCCAUCACAGAAAAUUAUUAGAGAAUUCAAAAAGAACCAAAUGAACAGGUAUGGCAUAUUGCAGGCAAGUCCGAACUCAAGGACAUCAAGCAUGACAGGUUUUCUUGUAUGAUAUGAGCUGGAAACAUUUAGAUGGCAGGUUCCUGAACAAAGCUGAAGAAGUAAGCCCUGGGGAGAUGAUUGAAUUUCCUGGUCAUUUGGUUGAAGUUGGCAACAGUGAAGCAAACCAUGAAUCUUUGAGGGAUCUAAAUGCAUGUGGAAACAGUUUCCAUUCUCUUUGCAAAUUAAUGUGCAAAAGCAGCAGCAUAAUGUUACUAAUGUUAGAUCUGCUUUAAAAGGUACCUAGAAUACAGUCUGAUUCGAUCCAUUUCCUGGUGUUCUAUAAAGUGUUUAUUUUUCCUGUUUAGUCUUUCUAUGAAGGUAAUUUGCCUUACCUCCUAGCCUAAAGUCUUAAACUUCCAAUAGAUUAUUAACAUUGUCUCCCUCAUUAUUUAUA